rnacentral:tRNA from 1 species
GGGGUUGUGGCUCAGCGGUAGAGCACUCACCUAGCAUGUGUGAGGCCCUGGGUUCGAUCCUCAGCACCACA